GUGAGGGAAAGAUGACAAGCACUUUGAAAAGAGGGUGAAAAGAGCCUGAAACCGUCACGGGGGAAGCGGAUCGCGUUGGAUUGAUGGGCGCUUGCGUGUUCAGCCCUUUGGGUGCAUUGGCGCAAGUUGCUUAUCCGCUGUGAGUUUUCGGGGGUCGAUUUUGGACCCCUGGGGACUGAGGGCUCCCUUUUACAGGUGAGGACAGCGGAGUGACGACGCGAUACGACCCGUCUUGAAACACGGACCAAGGAGUCUAGCGCGGGUGCGAGUCGGAGGGUGCAAGCCCGUGGGCGAAGUGAAAGCGAGUGUAAAAACGAGCAGUUUGGGGCGGCAUAAGAUCGUUGAUCUUAAGACCGACCCAGAGCAGUUGCGCUGGGACCCGAAAGAUGGUGAACUAUGCCGGAGUAGGGCAAAGCCAGAGGAAACUCUGGUGGAGGCUCGUAGCGGUGCUGACGUGCAAAUCGCUCGUCGAACUUGGUAUAGGGGCGAAAGACUAAUCGAACCAUCUAGUAGCUGGUCCCUCC
rnacentral:rRNA from 1 species